rnacentral:rRNA from 1 species
GCCCAGGGGCAGGUCCGGGCCUAGACUUGCAAGUCCAGGCCUAUGAGUGCAGAUCCGGUGAUAACCACUUGGGAAACCUGCCCAGAAGCGGGGGAUAACACCUGGAAACAGAUGCUAAUACCGCAUAACAACUUGGACCGCAUGGUCCGAGCUUGAAAGAUGGCUUCGGCUAUCACUUUUGGAUGGUCCCGCGGCGUAUUAGCUAGAUGGUGGGGUAACGGCUCACCAUGGCAAUGAUACGUAGCCGACCUGAGAGGGUAAUCGGCCACAUUGGGACUGAGACACGGCCCAAACUCCUACGGGAGGCAGCAGUAGGGAAUCUUCCACAAUGGACGAAAGUCUGAUGGAGCAACGCCGCGUGAGUGAAGAAGGGUUUCGGCUCGUAAAACUCUGUUGUUAAAGAAGAACAUAUCUGAGAGUAACUGUUCAGGUAUUGACGGUAUUUAACCAGAAAGCCACGGCUAACUACGUGCCAGCAGCCGCGGUAAUACGUAGGUGGCAAGCGUUGUCCGGAUUUAUUGGGCGUAAAGCGAGCGCAGGCGGUUUUUUAAGUCUGAUGUGAAAGCCUUCGGCUCAACCGAAGAAGUGCAUCGGAAACUGGGAAACUUGAGUGCAAAAGAGGACAGUGGAACUCCAUGUGUAGCGGUGAAAUGCGUAGAUAUAUGGAAGAACACCAGUGGCGAAGGCGGCUGUCUGGUCUGUAAACUGACGCUGAGGCUCGAAAGUAUGGGUAGCAAACCAGGAUUAAAUACCCUGGUAGUCCAUACCGUAAACGAUGAAAUGCUAAGUGUUGGAGGGUUUCCGCCCUUUCGGUGCUGCGCCUAACGCAUUAAGCAUUCCGCCUGGGGAGUACGGGCCGCAAGGCUGAACUCAAGGAAUUGACGGAGGGCCGGCACAAGCCGGUGGAGCCAGGGUGGAUUGUAAUUCCGAGAGCUCGACCCGAGC